UAUUGGCCAAUGGGCGAAAGCCUGAUCCAGCAAUGCCGCGUGAGUGAUGAAGGCCUUAGGGUUGUAAAGCUCUUUUACCCGGGAUGAUAAUGACAGUACCGGGAGAAUAAGCUCCGGCUAACUCCGUGCCAGCAGCCGCGGUAAUACGGAGGGAGCUAGCGUUGUUCGGAAUUACUGGGCGUAAAGCGCACGUAGGCGGCUUUGUAAGUUAGAGGUGAAAGCCUGGAGCUCAACUCCAGAAUUGCCUUUGAUACUGCAUCGCUUGAAUCCCAGGAGAGGUGAGUGGAAUUCCGAGUGUAGAGGUGAAAUUCGUAGAUAUUCGGAAGAACACCAGUGGCGAAGGCGGCUCACUGGACUGGUAUUGACGCUGAGGUCGAAGG
rnacentral:rRNA from 1 species